AGAAAAUGAAUAAUUCUGAAAAGUGCACUUCUUCUUUCUGAAUCACUCCGCAAUGCGGAUUAUAAUGUAGUUGUAACACAAAAAGCAUGGAAAAACAUCCAAAAAUCAAGCAAUUGGACUGACAAAAUGCCAAUUAUAACUUCAGUAAUUCUUGAAGAUAUAACAUACGCUAUCUAAUUGAAACUCAUCAAGUUUUCUCUAAUUACCUCAAUCACUACAGGCGAACUCUGUUGUUCUUUCAAGGUGUCAAAGUUUGGAAAGUAAGAAUGCAAGAUCCUCAUCAGAAACCUUCACAUCAGUUGAUGCUUACACUGAAAAUUCACAUACUAACGUACAAGCUACAUAUUAAGCGUCGAAACAAGUAACUCAAAAUUAUGGAAAAAAACACAAAGCUGUUCCCACAAUGUCAUCGAAGAAUGAAUAACAAGAACAAUGGUGUUCAGGGAAAGCAUAAAUAUUCCUCCUUCCUCCGGGAUAUCACCAUUUUCGCAUAUAAAGAAAGACGGGAACUGUGAUCAAGCAUUAAUAGCAAUUACUCUAAUCUUCACUUGGACUCUUUAUAUUUUUCAUUAGACAGUCUCAAGACCGAGUAAAGGGGAUGGUUGCAAUACGCUAGCGGCCAACAUAAAAUUUGGUGAAAUCAUAAGAUACAAAUUCUAUUCCAAAGGAAUUCUCAUUAGCCAAUUAGAAAUUUAUUGAGAAUAUACUUAAUGCAUUUCCAAGAAACUUUUUAUAUAUAAAGAGC
rnacentral:lncRNA from 1 species